UGCCCUGGUUGCAGUCUCAAUCCCCAGUGUGGGGCAUGCAAGAGGCAAUCAGUGAUUCUCUCUCAUCAUUGAUGUUUCUAUCUCUCCCUCUUCCUUCCUCUCUGAAAUAAAUUGUGUGUGUGUGUGUGUGUGUGUGUGUGUGUGUGUGUGUGUUUAGUGUCCCUGAACCCAUAAAUACUGAUAUGUAGGUCUUCUGUUUUCUGCCACUUAUACUAAAAAGAAUUUUGAUUUAAGAAAAUGAGGUCUGGUCCACAGGCAUGACUCAGUGGUUGAGCUUUGACCUAUGAACCAGGAGGUCACGGUUCAAUUCCCGGUCAGGGCACAUGAUGGGUUGUGGGCUCGACCCCUAUUGUGGGGUGUGCAAGAGGCUGCCGAUCAGUGAUUCUCAUCAUUGAAGUUUCUCUCUCUCCCUCUCCCUUUCUUGCUGAAAUCAAUAAAAGUAUAUUUUUAAAAAGAAGAAGAAGAAAAAAAUGAGGUCUGAAUGACAUUGGUUUAGUGCAAGGGUCCUCAAACUACAGCCCGCGGGCCACAUGUAGCCCACCGAAAACAUUUAUCCGGCCGCCGGGUGUUUUUGCUGCCGUUGCCUGUUGCUUAGCAGCCAACUAGUUUUUUUUUAAACUGUAGUCCGGCCCUCCAACGGUCUGAGGGACAGUGAAUUGGCCCCCUGUUUAAAAAGUUUGGGGACCCCUGAUUUAGUGUUUGGUAUAGACCCUGUGCAGGAAUUGUCUUGAAAUUCAAGACCUACCGUAGUUAUUUUCCAGUCAAUUCAUAUGUUCUUGAGAUUCUGUUUAUUGAUUUUAUUUUCAUCGAGCCUAUUAACAUUGGUUCUACCUGUUCUGUAAAUGUUUAACUUCUUUUCCUGUCCCAAUUUAGGAAGUAAGAAUAGAGUGGAUUCCUCUAGGACAGCGGUUCUCAACAUGUCGGUCGCGACCCCUUUGGCGGUCGAACGACCCUUUCACAGGGGUCGCCUAAGACCAUCGGAAAACACAUAGAUAAUUACAUAUUGUUUUUGUGAUUAAUCACUAUGCUUUAGUUAUGUUCAAUUUGUAACAAUGAAAAUAAAUCCUGCGUAUCAGAUAUUUACAUUAUGAUUCAUAACAGUAGCAAAAUUACAGUUAUGAAGUAGCAACGAAAAUGAUUUUAUGGUUGGGGUCACCACAACAUGAGGAACUGUAUUAAAGGGUCACGGCAUUACGAAGGUUGAGAACCACUGCUGUAGGACCUAGAGCAGUGAUGGUGAACCUAUGACACGAUACGCGUGUCAGAGGUGACACGCGAACUCAUUUUUUGGUUGAUUUUUCUUUGUUAAAUGGCAUUUAAAUAUAUAAAAUAAAUAUCAAAAAUAUAAAUCUUUGUUUUACUAUGGUUGCAAAUUUC